GGCAGAAAGGAGUGAUUCAGUCUGCCAGGUGCAGGGCCCAGGGAGGCCGGCAGAGAAGAGAAGCCCUGUGUGCUGGACCGGGACUCGGGGCUGGAGAUACAAGCACCCCAUUAAAGGACAGGAGACUUCCCUGAUGCAGGAAUGGGGUUUCUGAAAGUCUCGGGCUGGGACAUCCGCAGUCAAGAAACUGAAGACACAGGGGAAGGAGGAAUGUAAGAGACCCUACAAGGCACGGCACGCUGCACAGCCCAGUUCACUGAGUUCCUUGACGCUUAUGACCAACGAACAUGUUUUACUGGAAAAAUCUUCUCCAGAUCUCCCUCUCCCACUGUUGCAACCAGAUGUUUAUCCGUUCAUUUUGCUUCUUUGCAGAUAAUACACACACUGAGAGACGUAUUUCCUUUGCUUUGUUUCUCCUGGGCCUGGCUUUUUGUUGAGCUGGUGGUUUGGAGGCCCGCCUGACAACUCUGAUGGCCAAUGAGCGAGGCCACAGGGACAGAGGUAGCCUCCCAGGGAUCUGCCCUUGGCCCCAGUGAUGCCUGUGUCACCCCCUCCUGAGGGGCAGGCGGGGGACUCAGACCCGUCUCUCUUGAAGCCUCAUUGCAAGACCUCUGCCCAGCGCUGUCUGCCUCGUUGUUGGUUUUCUUGUCUUUCACUUCCUCUUUUUUCCUCUUUCUAACCCAGUUAUUUCUUUUUCUGAUUAUAUCCAACAUGUGUAAGUUGAAAACACUGGAAAAAAGAUCCCUAUGGAAUUAAGACCAUGCUUACUAACAUUUCACAUAAGCAGAAUUCACUGAAGGAUUUCAGUAAGCCCACCUCAGACUCACGCGGGCAAAGGGGACGGAGGUUGCUCAGGGCCGUGGUGACACAAAGCCCAUCAUGCCUGGAGCCAUGCCUGACAUCUCAGGCCUAUGAGACCAACUGCUGCUUUUCCCCUGUACUUUGGGCAAUCGCUCUGACAAUUCUGUGCUUGGCAAAAUCCAAGAUCAUCGGAUUUGAACGAGGAUUUCUGCCCCCAGUUCAUAUUUCUAAAAGCCCUGAGUGGAGUUGUGAAGUUAUCCCUCUUCUCUGCACUUCUGAUCCCUGUCCUCUUCCUCCCUUCUACGUGUUUUGUGCCUCGUUGUUUCUGGCCCCAGAGGAUUAGGUGUCGUUUCAGCUGCCUUUUCUGCUUACAAGACUUUUUCGAUGCAGUAUGCUCGGCUCCAUAGCUAUCUUUCUCUUCACUUUAAAAUUUCCCAACCAUUAUAUGAAACUAACCUUAUCUAGCAGUCAAGAUGUCAGUCUGAUGGAUAUAAUUCAUUCUAGGUAAGGAACGAUGGCUAGUUGCCUAGUAAAUGGGUUUAAAAUAAGGUAGUCACAUUUUCAAGGAGUUAUUUACUGAGUUAUUUACCGGCCCCAAAUCAUAGCUUUGUCAUUAGUGUAUUUUAAGGUAGGAGGAGUUCUUUUCUUGGUGCUUCUCAAACUAUAUGAUGUUUUGAAUAAUGACUAACAUGCAUCUAGUGCUUUGCAAUGUGAGAAACACCUUUCAUCCACGUAAUCUCAUUCCGUCUUCCAAAAAGGUCUAUGCUAUCAGAAUCUCAGUUUUCCAGAUGAACACACUGAAGAUUAGAGCAAUAAAGAACUUAUCCCUGGUCUGA